CCAAAGCCAUUUCAGCCAUUGUGUUAACAUUAAUCAGUAUUGUGAAGAGCAGUUUAGAAUAGGAAACCCCUCUUCAGGCUGUGUUCUCUUCAAAGGCAAAAACCAGACUAAUCUUUUUAAUAGUGCAAGCAAGAAGUAAUGGACUAUUGAUAAAGCAGUUUAUUUUGACUAACAGAUGUGGCAAAUUAACUCAGCUGCAAUCUCCUCAAUCUACUGCUGCCUAAAAUAGAGAGAGCUGCAUGGAGAAGGCCAAAUAAGCUGCUGUAAUCUUUCCAUCUGGGGGAACUCAAGCAGCUAUCAUUCACCACUGUCAUUUACAUAACUGGUGGAGGAAAGAGGGAACUCACAUACUGAACAUGGAGAGUGCUCAGUUUGUUUCUCUGUUUUGAAAAGCAUCAUUAUUCCUAAUAUUUCAGAGCGUAUAGGAGUGACAGAACAUUCACCAUGGCUAAUCCAACUGUGAACUUAAAACUGGGCUUCUUCAACUCCCACAGCCCCUGCAGUGACAGCUGAUUUACACUAAACCAGCAAGGAUCAGCAGAGAGAUCAGCACAACAGCUUGCAGGGUGCAGUACCAGGAAUCACACAGGACAUCAAUGAGGAGUAAUCCUCACUUUCCAGGGCAUAGCACCACAGCUCUGGCAUCCAUAAUACCAGGAGAUAUACAACCAUUUGUUACUGAACCCAAGAAUUAACAUCUUGCUCCAGAACAAAUAUCUGAAAGAACCAUCAGCAAUUUUUGGAAAUCCAAGAAGAACAGCAGUGUCAGCAGUCUGCAGACUCAGGAACCCAAGAGCAUACUAAUCUCUGUGUGGGGAAAGAUCCUGUACUCUACAUUCCAUAGAAAAUCCUAUGCUUCAGCCCCUAGAUAAAGUGACUCUGGUCAAUACCUGGCAAAACCUAUGCCACAAAUUAAGAUACCACUUUGACUAGGAAGGAAUAAAAACCCCAAAAUCCCCCA
rnacentral:lncRNA from 1 species